rnacentral:rRNA from 1 species
UACGAGUGCCUCAAGCGUUAUCCGGAAUCAUUGGGCGUAAAGGAUGUGUAGGUGGUUGUGUUAGUCUUUUGUUAAAUUCUUCGGCUUAACCGGGGGCAUGCAAGGGAAACGGCACGACUAGAGGAUGCGAGGGGUUUCUGGAACUCAUAGUGUAGCGGUGAAAUGCGUUGAUAUUAUGGGGAACACCAAAAGCGAAGGCAAGAAACUGGAGCACUCCUGACACUGAAACAUGAAAGCGUGGGUCGCGAAUGGG